UGGGGAAUAUUGCACAAUGGGCGAAAGCCUGAUGCAGCGACGCCGCGUGAGGGAUGACUGCCUUCGGGUUGUAAACCUCUUUCAGCAGGGACGAAGCGAAAGUGACGGUACCUGCAGAAGAAGCACCGGCCAACUACGUGCCAGCAGCCGCGGUAAUACGUAGGGUGCAAGCGUUGUCCGGAAUUAUUGGGCGUAAAGAGCUCGUAGGCGGUCUGUUACGUCGGCUGUGAAAACCUGGGGCUCAACUCCGGGCCUGCAGCCGAUACGGGCAGACUAGAGUUCGGCAGGGGAGACUGGAAUUCCUGGUGUAGCGGUGAAAUGCGCAGAUAUCAGGAGGAACACCGGUGGCGAAGGCGGGUCUCUGGGCCGAAACUGACGCUGAGGAGCGAAAGCGUGGGGAGCAAACAG
rnacentral:rRNA from 1 species